UACGUAGGGUGCAAGCGUUGUCCGGAAUUAUUGGGCGUAAAGAGCUCGUAGGCGGUUUGUCGCGUCGAAUGUGAAAACCCCGGGGCUCAACCCCCGGGCCUGCAUUCGAUACGGGGCAGACUAGAGUUCGGUAGGGGAGUCUGGAAUUCCUGGUGUAGCGGUGAAAUGCGCAGAUAUCAGGAGGAACACCGGUGGCGAAGGCGGGACUCUGGGCCGAUACUGACGCUGAGGAGCGAAAGCGUGGGGAGCAAACAGG
rnacentral:rRNA from 1 species